rnacentral:rRNA from 1 species
CUGAAAUUCGCCUUCAUGAAGCCGGAAUUGCUAGUAAUGGCAGGUCAGCAUACUGCCGUGAAUACGUUCCCGGGCCUUGUACACACCGCCCGUCACACCAUGAGAGUUGGGAAUACCCGAAGCCUGUGAGCCAACAGUAACUGAGGCAGCAGUCGAAGGUAGAAUCAAUGAUUGGGGUGAAGUCGUAACAAGGUAAC